AUCGCUUCUCAGCCUUUUGGCUAAGAUCAAGUGUAGAAUAUAAAACCUUUUUUACCUUAAAUUUUCUCAUUGACUGAUAGAGCCUUCCGAGGUUCCCAUAGUGCUUUGCAGUCUGUACAUUAAAUUCCCC
rnacentral:snRNA from 1 species